UUCUAUUGCUGAGCUCCUUGAAUUGUCUUCUAUGUCUUCUUGUAAGUCAUUGAGUUUCCUUAUGACAGCUAUUUUGAAUUCUCUGUCAUUUUCGUUGUAAAUUUCUGUGUCUUCAGGAUUGGUUUCUGGAGAAUUGUCAUUUUGCUUCUGGUCUGAAUUGUUGCUGCAGUUUUUUGUGGUGUUUGAUGAACUCAUCUUUUGUCAGGGCAUUUGUGAUAUUCUUAGGAUUCAGAUGCCACCAAUUACAGCCAGGGGGAAGCAAGAGCAAAGUGUAUGGACCCACCCUGUCUUCUGGAAGCUGUGGGAGUAUUAUGGGUGCUUGCCCCAGCCUGGGGUGCUUUCAGGUGCUUGCAAGGACUGUGCUUCACAGGUGAGGCUUCCUUGCUGGACUGAGCUAGGGCCAUUCUUUUGUGCCUCAGGGACACUAUGAGCUCCCCCUCCCUGCCACGAAAGUGAUCACCAGGAAGCUUAAAGCUGCCGCUGCCUCUUCCCACAUCCACUGAGACACAUUCUCUCUUUGGGGGCUCAGCAAUACUAUGAGGACUCAUGGGCCUGGGGUCUGUUUGCCCAAGCAUGUAGAUCUGUUGCAGUCUCCGUUCAUGGGAUUGCUGUGCUUGGUGGGUGGGAGUUCCUUGCUGAGGCCCGGUCUAGGACCACUCCUUGGUGCUACAGGGGCACUAUGGGCUCCCCCUCUCUGUCAGGAAAGUGAUCUUCUGUGGUCUCUGACCUCACUGGACUGAGCUAGGGCCACUCCUUGGCAGCACAGGAACACAGUGGGCUCCCCCUCCUGACUGAGAGAGCAAUCAUGAGUGUGGGCUACAGGUUACCACUGCCUCCUCCUAUGGUCACCCCAGUGUGUGUUCCCACUUUUGGGGUGCUUGUGACAGGUUGGAAAGCACUCAUGUGGGUUCAUAGGGCUACUGGGGGAGAGCAGGGUGUGCUCAUUUAUCUCUGCCACUUCCCUGGGGUCCAGUCCAUCCACCCUCAGAUAUAUAACUGUGUGUGUCUCUCAGGUGUCCUGUUGUGCUGUGUGAGCUUCCUCCAUUCAUCAGUGAAUGUCCAUUUAGUUGUAGUUCAAAGGGAGGAGAGACAAAGUGAACAGCUCACUCUGCCAUGUUGCCAUGUUGCUGAUGUCCUUCAAGUGGAGAUUUAAUGAGAAACUUAAGGCAGCUCAAGAAAGCUGAUGGUGACCACUAAUAGUUUAUGAGAUUUGUUCAACUAGAACCCUGGGGUAUAUAUUUAAGAGUGGAAUUAUUGGAUCAUAUGGUAACACCGUGAUGAACAUUUUGAGAAAAUGUGAAAAUAUUUUCCAACGUAGCUGCAUCAUUUUAUCUUCCUAUGAAGAUUCCAGGUUCUCUGUAACAUUAUAUACACUGUUUAUAUUGCAUAUCCAUUAACAAAUUAUUGUAGCUGUAGUUAUUUUUAAUAUUUUUGUCUUUUAGCCCUUAUAGUUGAUUUAAGGAAUUUAC
rnacentral:lncRNA from 1 species